rnacentral:misc_RNA from 1 species
GAUGAAGAACGUAGCGAAAUGUGAUAAGUAAUGUGAAUUGCAGAAUUCAGUGAAUCAUCGAAUCUUUGAACGCACAUUGCGCCCGCCAGUAUUCUGGCGAGCAUGCCUGUUCGAGCGUCAUUUCAACCAUCAAGCCCCAGGCUUGUGUUGGAGCCCUGCGGCUGCCGCAGCCUCCCAAAACCAGUGGCGGGCUCGCUAUCACACCGAGUGCAGUAGUUUACUCUUCGCUCAGGGCGUGUGGCGGGUGCUAGCCGUGAAACCCCCAACUUCUCAAGGUUGACCUCGGAUCAGGUAGGAAUACCCGCUGAACUUAAGCAUAUCAAUAAGCGGAGG